UAGGGAAUCUUGCGCAAUGGGCGAAAGCCUGACGCAGCCAUGCCGCGUGUAUGAUGCAGGUCUUAGGCUUGUAAAAUUCUUUCACCGGGGAAGAUAAUGACGGUACCCGGAGAAGAAGCCCCUGCUAACUUCGUGCCAGCCGCCGCGGUAAUACAAAGGGGGCCACCGCUGCUCGGAAUUACCGGGCGAAAAGGGCGUGAAGGUGGAUCGCUAAGACAGAGGUGAAAGCCCAGUGCGCAACAUUGGUAA
rnacentral:rRNA from 1 species